rnacentral:misc_RNA from 1 species
GAUGAAGAACGUAGCGAAAUGCGAUACUUGGUGUGAAUUGCAGAAUCACGUGAACCAUCGAGUCUUUGAACGCAAGUUGCGCCCGAAGCCAUCAGGUUGAGGGCACGUCUGCCUGGGCGUCACAUAUCGUUGCCCAAUGCCUAUUGCAGUGCAAUAGGAAUUUCUAGGGCGAAUGAUGGCUUCCCGUGAGCGUUGUUGCCUCGCGGUUGGUUGAAAAUCGAGUCCUUGGUAGGGUGUGCCAUGGUAGAUGGUGGUCGAGUUAGAACGAUACCGAUCAUGUGCAUGCUCCCCAAAAUAUGGCCUCUAUGACCCACACGCGUCUUUUGACGCUCAUGACGAGACCUCAGGUCAGGCGGGGCUACCCGCUGAAUUUAAGCAUAUCAAUAAGCGGAGGA